rnacentral:tRNA from 1 species
GCUGGCAUAGCUCAGUUGGUAGAGCAGCUGAUUUGUAAUCAGCAGGUCGUGGGUUCGAGCCCCUCUGCCAGCU